ACCAGGCAUUCUUGACAUGAGUUCAGCCUCACUAUCUGUUUCACCAAGCAAUGCAGUCCCUACAUUCAGAGAAGACUGAGGCUGCUCUUUUUCCUCCACUUGUAGCUCUAUUCAGCUUCCAGGAUGAGCACCAGCAUGCAGAACUUAAAAGAACUUAAAAUCAGUGGAACAAAAAAGGAGCAAGGACCACAUCUACUGCAUCAUAUUGAAGACUUUUUCCAAUUCUUCCAAGAGUUCAAACCCAAAUCUACUAAUUGUUCUGAUGAAGAUGGAUGCAAUUGUCUCUCUGUGGGGUCCGUG